rnacentral:rRNA from 1 species
CCUACGGGAGGCAGCAGUGAGGAAUAUUGGUCAAUGGACGAGAGUCUGAACCAGCCAAGUAGCGUGAAGGAUGACUGCCCUAUGGGUUGUAAACUUCUUUUAUAUGGGAAUAAAAUGUUCGACGUGUGGGAUUUUGUAUGUACCAUAUGAAUAAGGAUCGGCUAACUCCGUGCCAGCAGCCGCGGUAAUACGGAGGAUCCGAGCGUUAUCCGGAUUUAUUGGGUUUAAAGGGAGCGUAGGGGGAUUGUUAAGUCAGUGGUAAAAGUUGCCGGCUCAACCGUAAAUUGCAGUUGAAACUGGCAUUCUUGAGUACAGUAGAGGUGGGCGGAAUUCGUGGUGUAGCGGUGAAAUGCUUAGAUAUCACGAAGAACUCCGAUUGCGAAGGCAGCUCACUGGACUGCAACUGACACUGAGGCUCGAAAGUGUGGGUAUCAAACAGGAUUAGAUACCCCGGUAGUC